rnacentral:rRNA from 1 species
CCUACGGGUGGCAGCAGUGAGGGAUAUUGGUCAAUGGGGGAAACCCUGAACCAGCAACGCCGCGUGAGGGAAGACGGUUUUCGGAUCGUAAACCUCUGUCCUCAGUGAAGAUAAUGACGGUAGCUGAGGAGGAAGCUCCGGCUAACUACUUGCCAGCAGCCGCGGUAAUACGUAGGGAGCACGCGUUGUCCGGAUUUACUGGGGGUAAAGGUUGCGUAGGCGGCUUUGCAAGUCAGAAGUGAAAUCCAUGGGCUUAACCCAUGAACUGCUUUUGAAACUGGAGAACUUGAGUGGGGUAGAGGAUAGUGGAAUUCCAGGUGUAGGGGUGAAAUGCGUAGAGAUCGGGAGGAACAACAGUGGCGAAGGCGGCUAACUGGCAUAUAACUGACGCUGAGGCACGAAAGCGUGGGUAGCAAACAGGAUUAGAUACCCUUGUAGUC